UGUCAGCAUUUAUGAACAGGUUGAAGACAGUAUUGUGUGAUUGCAGAAAUGAGAGAAUAUCAGUCAGUUGUAUGUACAUGCUGUUUCGGUUCAGCGUGUUAAGGUUUGAGCUGUGGGCAGCUAAGACCUGUAAUAUGAUCCAUAAAUAACUUUCUGUGAGUCCAAACCAAAAGUGACACAAAGCAUUAUAUUUACUUGAAGGAGAAUCCAAGAGUUGGGAUUUGCAUGAGUGGAAAUUUGAGAAAACACAUCCAGCUGUCAAGAUACCGUUUUACACAACGCAAGUGUGAACCCACUUGACUUGUCUUUCUCUCCUUGACAGUACAGUUCAAAAUGUGCCCUUACUGCAAUUUAAGGUUAAAGCUUGAAACUUUUUCUUCUGCAAUUUUACAGACAGGUGACAUUUGCGACUCAUCACCUGUUUUGUGAAUUGUUCUCAAUCAUUGUGCAAGUGUAGCCUUAAUUUGCGGUGUUGAGUACAGACUGAACUACAUUGCAGAUUUAAAUAAUAUAAUGUGGACUGACCGUGACAAAUAACAGUAUUUGCUGUUUUUGUUUCAGCAUGGAGUGUAAAAAAUGUAAGUUAAUUACAUGUUUUAAUACUGGAUGUGGGUGAUCACGGAGUAUGAUUAACAACAUUUACAGUGUAUAUUUUCAUUUAAAUCUUACCCUAUACUGCCUUCAUAUUUAUUGCAAAGCGAGUCACACACUAGCAGCAAGUGCAGUGAGACAGACUCAAAUUAUGGCAAGAACAUAACACAGAACUGUCUGGUUUUGGUUCCCUUGUUCAUAUUUUCUCCAGUGUGUGUCAAACAUACAAGUGUAUUCCCCCAAAAUGAUUUAGUACAGAGCAGUAGGGUUAAUAUUGCAAGCAAGCAUAUAAACUGAUGAAAGUGUUCAAGCCAUAGACCAGUCAGAAGGCUCAGAAAACAAUCCCAGAUGAGAAAAGUGUCCUGCUCAGCACAUCAAUAAAUGCACCAUACCGAAUCUCCUGUAUUUUCUGCACCGAAUGGGAUCAUAAACUGUAACCCUGAGCACAGCAAUGUCCUUCACUGCACGCUUGAUAGCCUUUCUUCAAUUUCUCUGUCUCAGUAAUUGCUGCUGUUCCGGGUGGCCUUGUUUUGUUUUGUGCCGCAGAGAGAAAAGAGCAUAGAGGGGAGAGAGAUUGCACAGAGUGAUUUAGAUUCAUCUAAAUUCAGUGUUAAGUAAGAUCUCAACAAACCUUCAGAAAUUGUGCGCAGGCCUUUUUCACACAUCCUGUAACUCAGUAAGGGGAAACCUUAUGUAAGACGUCUCCCUGGGUGUGCACACACACUUGCAGGCCCGCCUCCCACCGGCCAAUCAGAGAGCUCCCUCGGUCACCUGGGCCCCAGUGUUUUGUUUGUCAUCGUGUAAGAAGAUUCAGACAGUGUGCAGCGGCUUACGUGGGACCGCGGCAGAACGUGAAGGACGAGACCCAGAGAAGACUGGGGGAGGGAGCUGCUGGGCGGUGGGCCAAAAGCACCAUAACACUCUGAGCCACAGCUGUUAUUCCACAUGGAGACCUGUUUCUAUGGUAAUAGAGCCCAAGACCCCACCACCACCACCACCACCCUCCUCCCGCCCUCUAGCCUCCAGAGUAAUGUGAGGGCCUACUGUAUAUCACUCCCUUACAGUUACAGUCUUGUGGAUUCUCUAUUUCUCAUCUAAUGUAAUGUUUCACAGUUACAGACAGAUAGAAGUGAGCGUUCAAAAAGCAAUCAUCUUUUGGCACCUAUAACAGAUGUCAGGCUUUUAAUUUCUGUUGUCUCAUUGGGUUUUAUUGUAGUUAAGUUUCAUGAUUUUGUGUUUUUAUGCUGCAAGUUCUUCGUGUAUUUGUUCAGGAAAUGCUUUUGCAAAGCAUUUAAUGUCUUUUUCACUGCUCCAGUAGUCUGGAACAGGACUGGGUACUAUGAUGGUCAGAAAAUCAAUUAUGACUCAUGGUCACAUUUAUGAGCUCUACGAUUCAAUGAACCCUGAGCUAUAAAUUUUGAAUGAAGUGUUUGACCUGAUCUGACCUUUUGUAUUGCAGAUGCACAGUAUUGCGGAUGCAUACUAAACCGUUUUUCUUAGCAUUUUAAAUCAGGCCAUAAUGGCUGUAACACACAGAGAACAACAACAAAGGAAAAAAAAAAAGGAAUGGCAAAAUGAGGUGCAGCGGUACCACAGAAUAUUAUGAGCUCUUUUGCCAGCUUCUUUGUAGGACAAUCUGGAGUGAAGUUGACACUAUUCACUGUCACUGAUCCCUUUCAGGCUUCUGACACUGUUACACAACCUCGCCUUAAUCCCAUGCUUGAGGUGGUAACUUUAACCACAGAUUUGGGGUCAGAUUAGAGCUUCACACAACUCAGCCUUGACGAUUAUAAAAACAAACUGAUGUCUGACUCUGGAACAGCAGAUGUGAUGAUCUUGUUCACUUUAAUCCCACGGGUAAAGCUGUGCAAUGAGGACAAGACUCCUAAUUACAAGAUUGUCAGUGUGUUACCUUACAUAGUGCAUGUUUCACUUUUAUGCUAACCAUAACUAUUUACAGAGUUUAUUUAUCAAAAAGUUAUAUAUAUUCCAUCUAUGCUGUUGGAGAUGGAGUGGUUGCCAAUUUUCAGUACUUCAUAAAAUGGAAAACUGUAACUUCUCAAUUCAAAGGCUGACACUCCAAAUUAAAAAAGUGAAGUUAUUAGGGUGAACUUCUCAACAAAUAAGCUUAAGAAAAAGUAGGCAAAGAUGGAUUUAACAUAUUAGGGGCUUAAAUUUCAAAGUCAUUUUUUCUUCUAAAUUUUUUGUUUAGACUUAGCUUUAGAUUAAAAAAAAAGGGAAAAAUAGUACAGUGGAAAAGCUAAUUUAUAGUGGUGCAGUAUGGUACAUAUGUUGCUGUACAGACGCCAAGAUAAAAAUAAUUGCAUCUCCGGAGAGAACGUUUUACAGAGACUAGAUUGGUGUCAGUUUCUAAACUAAUAACACUGAAGCACAUUAAUGUUGUAGCUUUUGCAUUUGUUUGAUCACAACUGUUUUUAUGUCAUACAUAACCCUUUCACAAUCGCUCUUUUACUGUUUCUCACUCUUUAAUCGCUUUUAAACAUUCAUUUGACAUCACUUUUCCCUUUUUAAAAAUUCAGAUGGGAAAGAAGUUUCCUUAGUUACAUAAACUUGGAAUGUUGGCGCCUUCCCAAGGAAAACAGCUCACAGCUCCUGAAGGUGACCCAAGUCAGCCCUUUUUUAAAACCCUGACAUGAUUGCAAAGAACUAAGCUACAAUUCUUGGGUGGCCUUAGGCACCCAAGAAUUGUAAACACUGGACUCAUAUCAAGACUACGUUUUCAACUUCUGACAGGGUCGAUACACGUUCUCAGAAAGUUUUUAAAUCCCAUAUGUAACUCAAGGACACUCAGUCCCAGCCAUCACUUGUAACUGCAAAGCAACCACUCAUAAUGUGAAGCCUGGAUUGUGCCAUUGGGAUGAUUUUAGACUUUUACAUCACUUAAUUGUAAUCAAUUAAUAAACUGUGAACACUCCAGGGUCCAUACUAUGACACCCUAACGGCAACUAUAAGUGAGACCAAAGCAGUAACAUCUUAGAAAUUAUCACUGACACUAUUACUGGUCCACUAAUGUUACUGUUGCUACUACAGUAUUACUGUCCUUUAUCUGACAGCUAUAGCUUUCUACUAAUGCCUUGGUUACUGGUUGUUUAUUCAGGUUAGUAUGUUGUCUUAUAUAUUGAUUACAAGUUACAUAAUAGGGCUUUAAUAUUCAUGUGGAGUUGGACCACAUUUCAGCUACAGCUGCUUACUUUGUGGUGGUUAAAGCUGCUGCCUUCAAGUGCUACUUGUAAGCUCCUGUUUCAGAGUGAAAGUGUUUUUGUUGGCAGCAAAAGAGAAGAGUAACAACAAAAAAAAGUGUUUCGCAGCCGUAUUCAGAGAGGACAAAAUGAUGCUUGUCUACUUCUUUGUUCCUAUAAUUUAAAGCAGCUCCUCAGCUCUCUACACUAUAUCGAGAUGUUCAUGAUCGCUUGUGGUUGUGAUAUUUCUGUCAGUACAGGAAGCAGCUCCAUACCAACAACUGUUGAAAUGUGAUCUUGUACAGCUGCGACUUAGUGCAUCACAUGCAUCAGUAAAAACAUUACGACACAGGCUGUAGGUAUUGUAGCAAGAACACAUUAUGCAAUGCUUUGUUUGAGUUGGGCACAUUAUACUUUAGUUUUAGGUGGAGCUUGACUAAUAAAUUAGUGAGCUGAUAUCAACUGAUAUUGGCUGGCACAUAUAUUGGAAGACAUCCAGAAAAGAAUUGCACUAAUUAAAAGUUUUUUAAUCAGAAUUUUAAAAAUACUUGUCUCAAGGAUAAUAUAUGUUGUGGUAUUUGUGUUUUUUUAUACAUAUUGAUUAUAAUUGUUGAAUUUCAAUUUAAUUCAAAAAUUCUACUUUUUAAUAUGAUAUACUGUACAUUAGCCUACAUAUGAUAUUAUUCAA